GUUCCAGGUCGAGGGCUCGAUCACGCUCGCGGCAGCCGCACUUCGAUAACGGCCGAAAUGCAAAAAAAAAAAACGCUCGUGUAUUUAGUUUUAGAAGCGCGCGAAAGAACCCCAGGUGGUCAUAAUUAACCCGUAUUCUCACCGCUACGGCGCGUCUCGUAAUCAGAUCGUUUCGCUCGCGCACGCAAUUGAAGGCCUAGAAUUUAAUUUCAAUUUUUUUUUUUGUUCAAAGAGAAACGGUGCGGCAGGAGCAAGCGACUGCGUGUGCAGACAAUUAACUCGAAACAUGUCGCGACGCGCGUUCACGAGUUGCAAGUCAUGCUCGCUGCCGGAGCCCAACGCGAAUGCGAAGGCGGCCACGGAACCGCGAAGGUUCCGUCGGCGGGUUUAUAAUAUCCAUAAAACUACGGCGACAGCGCUAACGCCAUUGCGUGUCCAAGAACACAGUGGAAGCAUGUGGAAGCUUCUAGAACAUUCCGAGUUCGGCAACUGUAUGCAGGCGGCGUCUUUUUUUUUUUUUAUUCCUUUGUUUUUACCAUCACCACUGGCGCCGAUCACUGUGAUAGCAGCGGCGCGGCGGCUAGCUAGCCGGUGACGUAGUUCGAUAUUAGACCAAUGAGAGAAGAAAAGAAAUGGCCCAGCGUAUCAACGCAUGCGCCGAAGAGCUUAGCGUCGCGGGCGUCGUGGCAAUAUAGCGAGCAUCCGAUGGCUUGGGCCGCCAUUUUACAUUUUCUGUCCACUUCGGCGUGGCUCUUAUCGGCUGCCUUCUGCGUCGCACCGUACUUCGAGGUCCUGCUGGUCUAAAUUACGCGCUAACCGUGGCAGCGCUUGUCCAAGUUGCACGCUGCGCAUGUUCUCGCCUUCGGCCGUCUCUGGAAGCACUGGCUUCAUGCCCCGGGCCUGCAAAACGUGAGACACGCUUCGAAAGACUUUUUUUCCCCGACCCGCCUCCCGCCUCGGCAAUUCCUGUCCCCUCUUUCGAGCUCCCGGAGCGUAAGUGACGGCCAGCCGGCAUUUACUACGUUAUACUAUACGCCAACGACACUCCGGUCGAGCCGGCGCAGCGUGUAAGUCGCGAGUCGUUCCUGCCGGGUCCCCGUUCUUUUGUUUGUGCGCGUUCCCACCCCCCGACGGCGCCUGGACUAUCGAACUGUGGACGAACUCUGAGCGUGGCCAUUAACCGAGGACCAGCGCGGGAACCCCUCGUCACGGCUAGCGUCGUCCUCUACGAGCUUCGCAUCGAGCGUCCUAAACGCUCAAAAGGCAUUUCCAUUUCGUUUGUGCAUUUUUCGAGCUGGUCUAGCUGGCGAGGGUGGCGCAAGCCUUAGAGGAGUUAACUGUCCAGUUGCACUAGCUAGCGCUUACUAGGAUGUAUGGCUACAUCACAAGAUAACGUAAGGUUAGUUUUGUUGCUUAGCUGUAAGCCCGAGGUUUCGCGGGCGUGGCUUGCGGCCACACGGGUCUUCUCCGUGCCGGAAUCGAAGAGGGCGGGCCACGUGUUGCGGGUGGCAGUGUAUAGCUUCAGGUUUUAGCUGGCACAGAGGGUUAGCUAACACUACGCAGGCAACAGCUGAUAGCCGUCCUCAUACGACUGCGUCAGGGACAUGGACCCAUCCGUAUGGCCUUGCCACCCGACCCCACUAUUUCGUGACAAGGUAGCCUGCGUGCGGGAGUGCGCGGACUACCUUGCGGGAUCUAGCGAAAUGUGGACUCACGGUAGCAAGCGUCAUUCGGAAACUGCCUCGCCAGCUAUCAUGUACUAACCCGCUCUCCGCAGCACCUCGACGCCGGACGUCGCCUGCUGUGUUCGUCGGAGCCGGGCCGGGCAUCAGCUGCGAGCGUCACUCGCACCGCCGCACACCGUGUUCUGUCGUCGGUGUGGUCUUGUGGGCCUGGACUACUACGGGAUCCCGAGGUCCGCUUUCGAGAUUGCGGACCACGAGUAGAAAGGAUAUCCAGUGCGCUGCUCCACGUUUGCCAUCCUCCCAACGUCCCCAACCGGAGAUGGCCUUGAGCACCACUUACCGUGGCUGACCGCGUUGGCCCCUUUGCAUUUCCACGUCCAUGGCGUCCUGCUGGCACGGGGGACUUCGUCUGCUACUACUGCCCACGUGUAAGAUGGAUAUCCAGCGCGCUGCUCCACGUUUGCCAUCCUCCCAACGUCCUCAUCAGGAGAUGGCCUCGAGCACCGCUCGCACCGUGGCCGACCGUUCCCCUUGGCCGGUGCGGUCUCCCUGGCAGAGGAGAUUGCUCAUCGCCCUGCUUUGCUACGGGAUCCCGACGUCUGCUUUCGAUUGAGGCCCACGAAUUGGAAGGUUACUCGUACUGGGGCCAACGCCGUUUCUUAAUUUACAUUCCCUCACCCAUGGCGUCCUGCUGGCAGUCGGAACCACGCUCCUCGCCCGCCACUACUGAUGGCCGUUUUUGACGGGGGUGAGCGAGGAGGACAUUCGAGGCAGAGUUGCCAAAAGAUCGGAUGCUUUUGAGCAACAAUCGUUCCACGUUUGCACAUCGGCCACCGACGGGACAUCCAAGUCUGAGCCUCGCCACGAACCCACAACCUGCGCGGCAACCCCUCGUCACGGCUAGCGUCGUCCUCUACGAGCUUCGCAUCGAGCGUCCUAAACGCUCACCAGGCAUUUGUAUUUGCUUUGUUCAUUUUUCUGGGUGGUCUAGCUGGCGAGGGUGGCGCAAGCCUUAGAGAAGUUAACUGUCCCGUUGCACUAGCUAGCGCUUACUAGGAUGUAUGGCUACAUCACAAGAUAACGUAAGGUUAGUUUUGUUGCUUAGCUGUAAGCCCGAGGUUUCGCGGGCGUGGCUUGCGGCCACACAGGUCUUCUCCGUGCCGGAAUCGAAGAGGACGGGCCACGUGUUGCGGGUGGCAGUGUAUAGCUUCAGAUUUUAGCUGGCACAGAGGGUUAGCUAACACUACGCAGGCAACAGCUGAUAGCCGUCCUCAUACGACUGCGUCAGGGACAUGGACCCAUCCGUAUGGCCUUGCCACCCGACCCCACUAUUUCGUGACAAGGUAGCCUGCGUGCGGGAGUGCGCGGACUACCUUGCGGGAUCUAGCGAAAUGUGGACUCACGGUAGCAAGCGUCAUUCGGAAACUGCCUCGCCAGCUAUCAUGUACUAACCCGCUCUACGCAGCAGCUCUACGCCGGACGUCGCCUGCUGUGUUCGUCGGAGCCGGGCCGGGCAUCAGCUGCGAGUGUCACUCGCACCGCCGCACACCGUGUUCUGUCGUCGGUGUGGUCUUGUGGGCCUGGACUACUGCGGGAUCCCGAGGUCCGCUUUCGAGAUUGCGGACCACGAGUAGAAAGGAUAUCCAGUGUGCUGCUCCACGUUUGCCAUCCUCCCAACGUCCCCAACCGGAGAUGGCCUUGAGCACCACUUACCGUGGCUGACCGCGUUGGCCCCUUUGCAUUUCCACGUCCAUGGCGUCCUGCUGGCACGGGGGACUUCGUCUGCUACUACUGCCCACGUGUAAGAUGGAUAUCCAGCGCGCUGCUCCACGUUUGCCAUCCUCCCAACGUCCUCAUCAGGAGAUGGCCUCGAGCACCGCUCGCACCGUGGCCGACCCUUCCCCUUGGCCGGUGCGGUCUCCCUGGCAGAGGAGAUUGCUCAUCGCCCUGCUCUGCUACGGGAUCCCGACGUCUGCUUUCGAUUGAGGCCCACGAAUUGGAAGGUUACUCGUACUGGGGCCAACGCCGUUUCUUAAUUUACAUUCCCUCACCCAUGGCGUCCUGCUGGCAGUCGGAACCACGCUCCUCGCCCGCCACUACUGAUGGCCGUUUUUGACGGGGGUGAGCGAGGAGGACAUUCGAGGCAGAGUUGCCAAAAGAUGCUUUUGAGCAACAAUCGUUCCACGUCUGUGCACGUUUGCACAUCGGCCGCCAACGGGACAUCCAAGUCUGAGCCUCGCCACGAACCCAGGACCUGCGCAGCAACCCCUCGUCGCGGCUAGCGUCGUCCUCUACGAGCUUCGCAUCGAGCGUCCUAAACGCUCACCAGGCAUUUGUAUUUGCUUUGUUCAUUUUUCUGGGUGGUCUAGCUGGCGAGGGUGGCGCAUGCCUUAGAGAAGUUAACUGUUUGUUCACUUGCACUAGCUAGCGCUUACUAGGAUGUAUGGCUACAUCACAAGAUAACGUAAAGUUAGGUUUGUUCCUUAGCUGUAAGCCCUAGGUGUCGUGGGCAUGGCGUGCGGCCACACGGGUCUUCUCCGUGCCGGAAUCGUAGAGGACGGGCCGCGUGUGUCGCGUGAUGGGGUAUAGCUUCAGGUUUAGCUACUGCGCAGGCUAUAGCUGUUAGCCGUCCUCUUACGACUGCGUCAGGGACAUGGACCCUUCCGUAUGGCCUUGCGACCCGACCCCACUAUUUCGUGACAAGGUAGCCCGCGCGCGUCAGUGCUAUCGAGCGAAAUGUGGGCUCACGGGAAGCAAGCGUCAUUCGGAAACUGCCUCGCCAGCUAUCAUGCACUAACCCGCUCUACGCAGCAUCUCGACGCCGGACGUCGCCUGCUGUGUUCGUCGGAGCUGGGCCGGGCAGCGGCUACGAACGUCACUCGUAUCACGGCCCACCGUGUUCCGUCGUCGGUGCGGUCUUGUGGGCCUGGACUACUACGGCAUCCCGACGUCUGCUUUCGAUCGCGACCGUCAAGAGUAGGAAGAUGAUCCAGUUUCUUCGCAUCCAUCGCAUUCCCUCGCCGCUGGAGUCUCGCUGGUGGAUUUGGCUUUCUUCCGCGCCAGGCACUACUCCUGGUUCCUACCGUCUGCUUUCCAUUGGGGCUAUUCACAAGCACAUCCAGCGGGCCACUUCAGCACAUCUAGUCUCUCUCCUACAAUACAGAGAUCAACUUCGUCUCUACUCGUCCCAUGGCCGGCUGUUUUACGUCAGCAUUUUCCUCGCCGGUGGCUUCCAGCUUGCAGACCGAGAUUCGUUCAUCUCGCUGCCCUACUUCUGACAAGUACCAUAUAGAUUCCAAUGGUACUACGGAUGUUUUCUCGUGUGGUAUCUAAAUCCUGCGUCAUUUAAGGUUCCGAACGUCUCUUUUGAAUGAAGCUUUGUUACGAGAUGGAGCUUUUCCAAUGGCAGCUGUUCCUUUUCUCUCAGUGCUGUUUUGCUUACUCAUGUUGCUACAUCUUCCCGGUGCCGCAAGCAUACAAACUUUGUGGGCUUCCGGAGAAAUUUGCUGUCGAAUGUAUAUACUAUGCCGGUCAUCGACGUUUGGUUUAUGCUACGGAAAACAUCCUUUGCCACACAGAUUUUGCAAUAGGCUCUUGACUAUCACUCUCCAUGUAAGACGACGUUGGACUUCAGUUCCUGGUGAUGUUAGGUGAUGUCAUUUCCUGACACAUAAAUUAUUUCGUCUACUCUCAGUUGCAUUUUUUACUGUGCUUUUGUAACUUCACAUGGUCUCCCCUUUUAUCGAAGGUUGCCGUCCUUCAAUGUCUCCUCCCACGCUUGUUUCCGCCCGUUGGGUAUGCAAGAGCUAAUGGAAUAGGUUGUCUAGGUCCACCGUGAACUUGCGUUAACAGUUGGUUGUUCUUGACGCACUUCGUAUAUUAAGGUAUAUUUCUCCAUUAUGCAGUACACGUCGGCCGAUCGCUUUUCGCAGUUGACUCGAAAAGUACGGAUGCGCCUUCAUCGGAAGCCGCCAUCUUACUGUGCUUCUUCAGCAGGUAAUUCCACUUGGUGAUUGGUCACGAACUCGUCAGUUGUUUGGCGACGUAAUGUUGUGACAACAUUCAAUUCCUUAUUAGUUUUCCGGUGUGUUGCGUUGUCGCUGAUCACAUUUAUUUUCGAGCUGGGAAGCACCGGAAAGAGUGUAGAAUAGAGUUCAAGCGUCUCCACCAGUUUCGCAGUGUACACCUGUUGUCACGGCGCAUGUGAAAGUUGUUACGCAAUAUGGCAAUGUCUCCUUUCUUUUGUAGUUGGUCCCUGAGCACCGUUGAAACGUAGGCCAACUAUUUCAAACAAUGUUGUCUUUAGUCCAUCGUCAAGAGGAAGUACUUCCUCUUACAAGGAUCUGUAACGUUAUUUUCGCCACACAACGCACUGUCGUAUUGCUUUGUUUCACUUAUUUUCGUCCCCUCUUUGCCCGAAAUCUCGUCAUUAUUCGAGUCGAUGUUCCACGUACUCCGUUGUGCAGUUUGUCCAUAUACGUGUCGGACUAAUAGUAAACAUUUCUUCCUGGUAUGUCAUUUGUUGCUGCUCGUCUUGUCAUAUGGGCCCUGCCAAAGGUGCCCUUGAAGUCUUCUUGGAACAUCUGGCACUCGCCUCUUGUCUACACAUUCGCUUGCUUGCUGAAUUUCUGCAAUUCUUUUCCAAUAUAGACACUUCGUUCUUGCCAAAUGAGGCAGGUUUCGGCAGUAUCUCUACGUUUAGUGGACCUUUGAACUUCUCUGCUAAUAUUCACCGAACGAAACAUCCACGCAGUUACCUUUCCAAUAUUCAAGUAAAUACCGAACCUGUCAACUUCGAUGCCUCGUCUUGAAAUCCUUUUCGACGUCCAAAACGGGAUUCAUCUGCUUCUUUCCUUCCAUUAUUAUCCGGCGUUUUGUAACGGCUAUUCCUUGGUCUGCAUAAACUCCGAUCCCUUCCACGAAAUUCACUACGAAAUCUCUUCUAGUGUGCCUCCUGGUUAUAUCUGCUACAUUUUCCGCAUAGUUUUCCUACUGAGCAAUCUUAGAUUUUUUUUAAAGCCUGUGUUCAACUUGUGCUUCAAGCAUUUUCUUUCUCCUAUGCACCAUGAUUGUACGAGAGGUCUAGUACUUUACUGAUGCUCGCAAGUUCUACUUUUGCUAGAAUGACGACGGUAUCCAUCAGAGCUACUGUUUUUGUCAGGACCAGCACUAUCUCCGCUCUCGUAACGUUACCAUGAAUGCUGCACUUACAUGCGCCGCCGGGCUUUCAUCCGAGAAAAAUGGUGUGUUGUGCUGUUCCGUUUCAUAUUGUCGAUUAAUUUUGGUUUUCCUGGAUGCAUUCCUCCAUAGAUCAUUUAUCUUCGUCUGGAAGACGGUUGUCCCAACAUGUUUCGGUUAUUCCUCGUUAUUGAAUGCCGAUAGCAGAAUACCGUCGGCCGCGUGCCAUUUCAUUCCUAGAAUUCUAGUCUCGCUUGGUUACGUAGGAACGGCGUCUUGAUGCGCAUUAAAAUUCUCAUCGGUGAUUGAUGUUUAUUUCCUAAGAUUCAUUGAAGCUUGGAGAUAUUUUUUGUAUUUGCUUCCUUGUUCAUGCAUUUUCCCUGGUUUUCUUGCGAUGUUCCAAGCAUAACUUCAUCAGCGAAAACCUAAUUACAUUUACGGUCAUUGCAGGAGUUCCUUCGAAAAUUCAUUAUUAUUGUUGGUACACCUGCGCCCAAAUUCCCUCCUGCCUGCACCUACACGACGAUCACUACAUUGUUUUUUCAGCUACUUUGCUUUUUCUCGCUGUUGCCUUCUCCGUCUCAUUUCCCUUCCCUCAGGGCAGGGAAGCAAACCAGAAUCUCAUCCGGUUUCUCUCUCGCCUCCUGCCUGAAAGUUAUCAUUCAAAACAUUCUUGAUCCUGACAUCGAAGCGUCAAAUACUACGCUUACUUUUACUUGUCGGUAUUCGGUCAUUGCGUGAUGCGACGUGUAGUAUUUAACGUUCGGAUUCUACCGAUCACGGUCGUUCUCCCAUUCCAAGCGUGAAACUUCUCGCAUUGAACAGUUGUACUUUUCUCUCGGUAAGACAUUUGUCUCCAGCUUUCGGUAUAGUCUUCCAGUUGCUACUUGGUUGGUUUCCACGUUCACUUGCUCUCCAUCCUUCUGAACAGUCCUUGUGCAGGUUGUAACUACAUGCUUCAACUCAUGCAUCGCUUCUUUCUCAGGAAUUCGCCCAGUAUAGUCCAUUCUCAACUUUUUGUUGGCGUUAUUUUCGUCACUUUUUGUGACGUCAAACACCAUAGCGGGAUUGAGUUUCGAACGUCUUAUUCUAGACCACAUUUGUGAGUCCAUUCGAGAAUGCUUUCCACUUUCCAUUGCAUCUUCCUUUCGUCUACGGUCUGCGCUCCAGAAGAUUACUUCGGGCACGAGCAUCACCUGUGGCAGGCACCGACUGCUGUUCUGCAUUCUCUCGCCAGUGGCGUCCUGCUGGUAGACUGGACUCGUCCCCUCACCCUCCCAUACGUCUGGUUCUGCACGCCUGUUUUCUGUUGCGGUCCACAAGGGUACCCAGCGCGCUCCUGCACUACUGUCCUCGCUGCAAGAUAUUACUUCGGGCACGAGCAUCCCCUGUACCAGGAGCGACCGCUAUUCUACGUUCUCUCGCCAGUGACGCCCUGCUGGUAGACUGGACUCGUCCCCUCGCCCUCCCAUACGUCUGGUUCUGCACGCCUGUUUUCUGUUGCGGUCCACAAGGGUACCCAGCGCGCUCCUGCACUACUGUCCUCGCUGCAAGAUAUUACUUCGGGCACGAGCAUCCCCUGUACCAGGAGCGACCGCUAUUCUACAUUCUCUCGCCAGUGACGCCCUGCUGGUAGACUGGACUCGUCCCCUCGCCCUCCCAUACGUCUGGUUCUGCACGCCUGUUUUCUGUUGCGGUCCACAAGGGUACCCAGCGCGCUCCUGCACUACUGUCCUCGCUGCAAGAUAUUACUUCGGGCACGAGCAUCCCCUGUACCAGGAGCGACCGCUAUUCUACGUUCUCUCGCCAGUGACGCCCUGCUGGUAGACUGGACUCGUCCCCUCGCCCUCCCAUACGUCUGGUUCUGCACGCCUGUUUUCUGUUGCGGUCCACAAGGGUACCCAGCGCGCUCCUGCACUACUGUCCUCGCUGCAAGAUAUUACUUCGGGCACGAGCAUCCCCUGUACCAGGAGCGACCGCUAUUCUACGUUCUCUCGCCAGUGACGCCCUGCUGGUAGACUGGACUCGUCCCCUCGCCCUCCCAUACGUCUGGUUCUGCACGCCUGUUUUCUGUUGCGGUCCACAAGGGUACCCAGCGCGCUCCUGCACUACUGUCCUCGCUGCAAGAUAUUGCUUCGGGCACGAGCAUCCCCUGUACCAGGAGCGACCGCUAUUCUACAUUCUCUCGCCAGUGACGCCCUGCUGGUAGACUGGACUCGUCCCCUCACCCUCCCAUACGUCUGGUUCUGCACGCCUGUUUUCUGUUGCGGUCCACAAGGGUACCCAGCGCGCUCCUGCACUACUGUCCUCGCUGCAAGAUAUUACUUCGGGCACGAGCAUCCCCUGUACCAGGAGCGACCGCUAUUCUACGUUCUCUCGCCAGUGACGCCCUGCUGGUAGACUGGACUCGUCCCCUCGCCCUCCCAUACGUCUGGUUCUGCACGCCUGUUUUCUGUUGCGGUCCACAAGGGUACCCAGCGCGCUCCUGCACUACUGUCCUCGCUGCAAGAUAUUACUUCGGGCACGAGCAUCCCCUGUACCAGGAGCGACCGCCAUUCUACAUUCUCUCGCCAGGGACGCCCUGCUGGUAGACUGGACUCGUCCCCUCACCCUCCCAUACGUCUGGUUCUGCACGCCUGUUUUCUGUUGCGGUCCACAAGGGUACCCAGCGCGCUCCUGCACUACUGUCCUCGCUGCGAGAUAUUACUUCGGGCACGAGCAUCCCCUGUACCAGGAGCGACCGCUAUUCUACACUCUCUCGCCAGUGGCCUCCUGCUGGUAGACUGGACUCGUCCCCUCGCCCUCCUAUACGUCUGGUUCUGCACGCCUGUUUUCUGUUGCGGUCCACAAGGGUACCCAGCGCGCUCCUGCACUACUGUCCUCGCUGCAAGAUAUUACUUCGGGCACGAGCAUCCCCUGUUCCAGGAGCGACCGCCAUUCUACAUUCUCUCGCCAGGGACGCCCUGCUGGUAGACUGGACUCGUCCCCUCACCCUCCCAUACGUCUGGUUCUGCACGCCUGUUUUCUGUUGCGGUCCACAAGGGUACCCAGCGCGCUCCUGCACUACUGUCCUCGCUGCGAGAUAUUACUUCGGGCACGAGCAUCCCCUGUACCAGGAGCGACCGCUAUUCUACACUCUCUCGCCAGUGGCCUCCUGCUGGUAGACUGGACUCGUCCCCUCACCCUCCCAUACGUCUGGUUCUGCACGCCUGUUUUCUGUUGCGGUCCACAAGGGUACCCAGCGCGCUCCUGCACUACUGUCCUCGCUGCAAGAUAUUACUUCGGGCACGAGCAUCCCCUGUUCCAGGAGCGACCGCCAUUCUACAUUCUCUCGCCAGGGACGCCCUGCUGGUAGACUGGACUCGUCCCCUCACCCUCCCAUACGUCUGGUUCUGCACGCCUGUUUUCUGUUGCGGUCCACAAGGGUACCCAGCGCGCUCCUGCACUACUGUCCUCGCUGCAAGAUAUUACUUCGGGCACGAGCAUCCCCUGUUCCAGGAGCGACCGCCAUUCUACAUUCUCUCGCCAGGGACGCCCUGCUGGUAGACUGGACUCGUCCCCUCGCCCUCCCAUACGUCUGGUUCUGCACGCCUGUUUUCUGUUGCGGUCCACAAGGGUACCCAGCGCGCUCCUGCACUACUGUCCUCGCUGCGAGAUAUUACUUCGGGCACGAGCAUCCCCUGUACCAGGAGCGACCGCUAUUCUACACUCUCUCGCCAGUGGCCUCCUGCUGGUAGACUGGACUCGUCCCCUCGCCCUCCUAUACGUCUGGUUCCCAGUGCAUGCUGUCGCUUGUGGUGCAAGAGAUGUUCCAGCACGCUCAUCUACAAGACUCCUGGCCUUACCUCAAGAGCGAAUAUCUUCAGCCCGGUCGUCCUGCCCCAGGAUCCAUACAACACGCUUCCUCCUUGCUGUGAAAGCCUCGCACGCCUGCACUGUUGGCGUGUUCAUGUUCUGAAGGACUACGUAUCGUCACCGUCCCGCAACCGUCCAUCGGAUGUGCUCCUAGAGUUCUUCAAUGUUGAUUUUUUGUUUGCGCAGGCAUAUUUAAUAAGUUUAAUAGAGCAACAAGCUUUUCUGCUCUGAAAGGUUCGUGCGUUGCUCACCGAAUGGAUGCGCUGCUCACCGAUGGAGCACAGUAAAUAAGCCUUUUUACUUGGACACCACUCGGUCUUUAAGAAGGGUUGUCAGUGUCUUCAUGAGCUGAUCUGUAAAUUUUUGGUGGCGAGAGUAACGGACAUUCAUUCCCAUUGUGCACUUUCGUAGUAGUACAUUGAUCGUGUGUGUGUGUGUGUGUGUGUGUGUGUGUGUGUGUGUGUGUGUGUGUGUGUGUGUGUGUGUGUGUGUGUGUGUGUGUGUGUGUGUCACGAGCUCGCAUUUUGGUUCGUCCAUUUCGGAUGUGUCACCUACUCUGUGCAUAUUUUAUUCGGUAGAGAACGUGUGACAUAUGCUUUACUGCUACACGGCGAACAUCGAAUUUUUUAUAUUUUGGUAGCAUUUCCAGCGUCACAGUUGAUGCUCCAGGUUUUUCUGGAUCAUUCUUAUUGAAAGGUUCCUGGUUUGAUGGUUUACUAUCCUCCAUGGUCAUCUACAUUUCAAUUGGUUGAACCGCUCGUUUCUUUGGCUUUGGUCCUUUGGUUGAUCUCGGUGCUCGUUUCGGCAUUCGGCUGAUUUGUUCUGGCGUCUUGAUCGUAUCCGAAAGGUCUCCAUACAUUCUCGGUUCUUCCACGUCCCUCAUCACCCACUCGGAAGGAUCAGCGUGCCACUACAAAAGCACACAAUGUCAAUGAAUGGGAAAGGGGAGGGCGGUUACUCUCGCCAACAAAAAUUUGCUGAUUUGCUCACGAUGAUAAUGACAUCCAGCUUUAAGACUGGUUUGUCGUAGAUCUUAUUGUGCUCACCGUUUUAGCUUUUUCUUUUUUGAUGUGCGGGAAUCAUUACAUGAUCAUUACAUGUAUUAUUGCCUGUCCGUUCAUCAGACUGCUUCUCGUUGUCGUCGUUUGUUCACCGCCUAUACUGCAUCAGAAUGGCGCCGUAGUUGGUUUAUGUAUGCCUUUUUAUUGCUUACUGCGCCAGGUCAGUAGGAACAGUGCACCCUUGACGCGGCUGUGACGUCGUUGCCUGCUGACUGUAGUUGCGAUUACGGAGUGUGGUAAUUUCGUGAUUGUUGUGUAUCGAGUGAGCCAUUGUCUGACGGCAGCUUCAAAGGGACUAAAUUUACUCCCCUUUGCUAAGUCGUGUCUAAAUGUGUCUAGACAAGUGACGAGCACGCGCAGGAAAAUCGAAUGUCCGCUUUAGUAUUGUAUUUUGUGUUGAAGCCAGUUACGUUUACGAGUUCCUCUCGUACUUCUUGCUGUACGCUGUGUUAAUGUCUUUGCGUAGCACUUCGAAUGUAUUUGAAUGAGUUUGCUUUGAAUAGUUUUUUAAUUCGCAGAUGCUAUUGUUAGCCUAUAUAAUCGCCAUAUGAGAACACACAUUUUAUUACCAAUUACUUCGAAUGUUCUCAACCAGUAAUUAUCUUGUCUCCACGUUGCUUGAUAACUGGAAAAGCGAGCACUGUCUUAAAUAGAUGAUUUCCUGUACCUCAUUACUCUGCCAUUACUUUUUUUUUGCUGCUUCAAUCCGCUGUGACGCAAAGUCAAGCAACCACACAUGUACGAUGCUGCUCAGUCGAACUUGUUUUUCCGGGGCCUUUCUCCAGGAAGUAACAUUUUAUUUCACUCUUCAGUACAGACGACACCCUUGCAUUUAUAUCGCACAAUGCUCGCGAUAGGUUUGUGAUACCACCAGUGCAGGCAUUUGGACUUAUUGUUGCGCCAUCUUGAAGGCCUUUUUUUGUGUAACUAGUUACAUGGACGAAGAGAAAGAACGAUGCCCACACAGCACUCAAUAGUUCGCAAUAGGACGGCUAUCCACGAAAUUACUGCAUAUUGUGGGGUCAGUGAUUAUGAGGUGACGUGGUACGUAGGGUCAUCAUGUAGGAAUAGGUUUAUGUCCAGUUGGGUCCUAAAGGCACAGAAGAGGCACGUUCGAAUAGUGACGUUCUCGUUUGGUGAAAACAAAAAUCGGGGUGAAGUUUUAUUCCGCUCCCAGCGAAGGUGCUGUGCAACGCUUACUCAUUUCAGGUAGUUCAAAUAACUUCACGCUGUGAAGCCCUUAUGCAUGCAAAUAAAGCCGUAAAGCUAUUGGUGCGACCUAUGUUAUGCUGUUAUUGUCGCUUUUAUUUCUGGUGUUCUACGAAAACGGAGCAGUAUUCGCACAUGGAAUAACCUACCUGUCAAUGUUGAGUAUUCGACGGUGUCUCCUUUCUUGAGUGCAUUCCGCAAUAGCUAACGAUGCUUCACCUUGUCGUGGCAUAUUGUUUCUACGUCCCUUUGUAUGUCUUACGUGGGUCCUUCUAAUGCCGUACUUGCUCGACCAAAUGUAGAUUGUAUUCCUAUAUACUGCAUUGUUAUGUACCCCACUCCUGCCUAAAGCCUGACAUCCAGGCUGACAAUAUGCAAUAAUGUCCGUUUUGCAUUUUUAUACGCGGAAGUACCUUGAAGCUGAGAAAUUCUUUGUGCUAUGUAAAUCCCCUUAUAUAUUCUAUAUGUAUACAUGUACACGUGUGACUUCAUGUGUUCAUUCUGUAUAAAUAAAUGCACUGUAUGCUGCUUUCUGUAUCAUCGGGGAUGAAGCCCAAGUCAGGCAGCAUGAGUCGCUUUUAAUUUCGUUUAUGGUCGUGUUUUUGCGCUUAUUGUACUGAGAAUUCAUCACUUUAGACUACGCCUUACAGAUCUGUCAAAAUAAAACUUCUUAUUCCUGC